rnacentral:rRNA from 1 species
CACGUAGGGUGCGAGCGUUGUCCGGAAUUAUUGGGCGUAAAGAGCUCGUAGGCGGUGUGUCGCGUCGGCCGUGAAACCUGCAGCUUAACUGUGGGCUUGCGGUCGAUACGGGCAUCACUGGAGUUCGGCAGGGGAGACUGGAAUUCCUGGUGUAGCGGUGAAAUGCGCAGAUAUCAGGAGGAACACCUAUUGCGAAGGCAGCUCGCUGGGACGGUAAACUGACGCUGGAGACGCGAAAGCGUGGGGAGCAAACAGG